UUUAGCAAGGCACUGUAUGUGGCAAAUGGAGACCGACAGCAAGAAGACUUGCUGGCAAACGAGGACAAGUGGCCUCAGAGCCGGUUCUGACUGCCUUGAGCUGUCCUGUUGGAUCUCUGUGCUGUUUUGGACCAUGUGUUACAGAGGAGUACUUGGAGAAACCACGCCAUAUUGGUGUCAUGCAAACACAUGUCCCAUUUCAAGGGUGGU